UACGAAGGGGGCGCGCGUUGUUCGGAAUUACUGGGCGUAAAGGGCGCGUAGGCGGCCGAGCAAGUUAGAUGUGAAAGUCCUGGGCUUAACCUGGGGACUGCAUUUGAUACUGCUUGGCUUGAAUUCGGGAGAGGAUAGCGGAAUUCCCAGUGUAGAGGUGAAAUUCGUAGAUAUUGGGAAGAACACCGGUGGCGAAGGCGGCUAUCUGGACCGACAUUGACGCUGAGGCGCGAAAGCGUGGGGAGCAAACAGG
rnacentral:rRNA from 1 species